CACAACCGGUAAAUUCAGUUCUGCCAUUAAUAAGGGGAAACAAUACAAAAUAAGGACAAGGAAAGCAGUUCCUAAAGAAAAGGCCUGUGAAAGAUUUAGCAAAUCACAAGCAUGAAGUUUUGAAGGAAAGUGUUAGAAGGUCACUUAGAAGACUGAAAAAUACAGACUGAAUCUCUGUUCCACCUGUGCAUCUUACUCUCCAUCAAUCAGCACAUCAUCCAAGGGAAAGUGUGGUGCCUCCAGGACACGUGUCACCCCACUACAUGUGGUUUCCUGUCAGUCUGGAGGUUCCUGCUUCUCUUUGUCUGCCCAAGGACCCCUGUUGUUUACAGGAUGUAUGGUUUCCUGCCAUUUGGCCUGUGUCUCCCUUUCUCUGCUCACAUCUAGCUAUCGACCUGCUCUAAUAUAUAUAUACUUAGUGACUGUAUUUUCUAAAUCAAAAAUUGGAGUGCAUUGUCUAGAAAUGGAAUAAAAUCUUUUAAGUCUU